rnacentral:rRNA from 1 species
UACGGGGGGAGCAAGCGUUGUUCGGAUUUACUGGGCGUAAAGGGCGCGUAGGCGGCCACCGCGAGUCGACUGUGAAAUCUCCGGGCUUAACCCGGAAAGGUCAGCCGAUACUGCGGGGCUAGAGUACGGAAGAGGCGAGUGGAAUUCCUGGUGUAGCGGUGAAAUGCGCAGAUAUCAGGAGGAACACCCAUUGCGAAGGCAGCUCGCUGGGACGUUACUGACGCUGAGACGCGAAAGCGUGGGGAGCAAACAGG